GGUCUGGAAUCAGCCACAGGGGCAGAGAAGUGUGUCAGAAGGAGUGGGAGGUGGGGGUCUCCAUCAGGGACAGAGGUGAGGUUCUAAAGCAUGACACUGAGGUGGGUCUCCCACACCCAUCCUUUCCGCUUCUCCUUUGGCUCAUGCUGUGCUCAUCUGGCCCCAUGUUGUGGGGUUCAGAGUUUCUUAACCUGGGGUACAUGUACCGCCCCCUCCCCAGGAUUUCAUGAGCUCCCCUAUAUUUGUAAACAAAAUGCCAGUGGCGGUCCAGAUUUCUGGGAUAGCUGAGCCUGCCCAGAGUCACUUCCUGCUCUUGCAAGACUUAUUUUACAAAUUCAUUCAUUCAUUCGUUCGUUUUUUCGGUCAUACCUUUAAGAGAUGAUUGUUGAGCACUUACUAUAUGCCAGACAUUGAGCAGGGCGCCUGGAAGUUGUCAGUUUGGGCAUUCAGGAAGCUUAGAUUCUUCCCAGAAGGUCAAGAUCCUCCCACAAUUGAUGCCAUGACUGGUCAAUUUCGACUGCACCCUAAGUACUGUAAAGGAGAAGUCCUAGGGGGCUGUGGGAGCAUAUUAUGGGGAGACUGAAUCUAUUGGGGGGAACAGCCAAGGGGAUUUCCUGAGGAAGUGACACAUGCAGGCUGAUGGGAAGCUGAGGUCUGGAAGGGUCACCUGACCUCCCCAAGUUUCCCAGCCUGUAGGUGCCCGGGGAAGGGCACACCCUGGGCGCCAGCAUGCCUGGGACCCCCGGCCCACCUGCUGAGCCUCCUGCCCACUUCUGCCCCUCUCUCCCCCCCACCUACUAACGGCCUUAGAUCCCUGCUUUCAGGCCCCACCGGAGGCAGCUACAAACUGGUUGCUGUUUGGAGCUUCAGGGCUUGGCAGAUUUUUCACAACCUUCACCGCCUCUGGGCCUCUCCCCCCACCCCAAAGCUCCAGCCUCCUCAGGCCUCUGGGGCCAGAAGACCUCGUCUCAUCCACUUUUAGGGCCAUCCAGGCCUGGCAGGGCUCACGCCUGGUGCCCGGCUGCGGCCAUGGGGAAGUGACGUGUCCUGAAGCUGAAGCGGAAGUUAGCAAACUGUGGCACUCAGGCUGGUGGACUGUUUUUGUAAAUAAAGUUUUAUUGGCAGUCCAGCUGCGCGUGUU